CAGACGUGUGCUGUUCUGAUCUCAGUCCAGCAAGCAAAAGCAAUUAAAUACAAUUAAAACUGUACUGGUAACUCUGGGAAUAAGG